GUCGGUGACCAUACGUUUGGGGCAACACCCGUUCCCAUUCCGAACACGGCAGUUAAGCCCAAACGGCCAAUGGUAGUCCCACAGGGCGAGAGUAGGUGAUCGCCGACA
rnacentral:rRNA from 1 species